rnacentral:rRNA from 1 species
AUGGAAUAUGACGAGCGAUACACGGAGUAUAUCCGGAAGACUGGGCUUCUCCCAUUUGUCUCACUCGUGUCUCGUUCGAUGCCGAAGAUGAAUCCUUAUGCGAUCACGGCACUAGUUGACCGAUGGCGCCCUGAUACACAUACUUUCCACUUCUUUGCUGGAGAGAUGACAGUGACUUUGUAGGAUGUUACAAUGAUCACUGGACUUCCUAUCAAAGGAGAGCCUAUUUGUUUUAGCACAGAUUCAGAGGGAUGGCGUGAGACUAUGGUGGGACUCAUUGGGGAGGAGCCGGGGGUGCAAGGAAAGUCUGCCGGUGCAAGUUAUCAUUGGAUUGCUGAGAACUUAGUAAGUGCCCGGAUGAUGUUGAUGAUGAAAUGGUGCAAUAGUAUUGCAGGGCAUACUUGUGGUAUGUAG